AGGCUUAACACAUGCAAGUCGAGGGGCAGCAUGAACAUAGCUUGCUAUGUUGAUGGGCGACCGGCGCACGGGUGCGUAACACGUAUCCUAAUCUGCCCGUUACUCGGGGGAUAGCCUUCUGAAAGGAAGAUUAAUACCCGAUGGCAUGUAUUUCCGGCAUCGGAGAUACAUUAAAGAUUUAUCGGUAACGGAUGAGGAUGCGUACGAUUAGCUGGUUGGCGGGUAACGGCCACCAAGGCGACGAUCGUUAGGGGUUCUGAGAGGGUGAUCGGCCACAUUGGGACUGAGACACGGCCCAAACUCCUACGGGAGGCAGCAGUGAGGAAUAUUGGUCAAUGGUCGAGAGACUGAACCAGCCAAGUAGCGUGAAGGAUGACUGCCCUACGGGUUGUAAACUUCUUUUGUUUGGGAAUAAAUGAUACUACGUGUAGUAUUUUGCAUGUACCUUACGAAUAAGCAUCGGCUAAUUCCGUG
rnacentral:rRNA from 1 species